rnacentral:rRNA from 1 species
GACGAACGCUGGCGGCGUGCCUAAUACAUGCAAGUUGAGCGCUGAAGGUUGGUACUUGUACCAACUGGAUGAGCAGCGAACGGGUGAGUAACGCGUGGGGAAUCUGCCUUUGAGCGGGGGACAACAUUUGGAAACGAGUGCUAAUACCGCAUAAAAACUUUAAACACAAGUUUUAAGUUUGAAAGAUGCAAUUGCAUCACUCAAAGAUGAUCCCGCGUUGUAUUAGCUAGUUGGUGAGGUAAAGGCUCACCAAGGCGAUGAUACAUAGCCGACCUGAGAGGGUGAUCGGCCACAUUGGGACUGAGACACGGCCCAAACUCCUACGGGAGGCAGCAGUAGGGAAUCUUCGGCAAGGGACGAAAGUCUGACCGAGCAACGCCGCGUGAGUGAAGAAGGUUGUCGGAUCGUAAAACUCUGUUGGUAGAGAAGAACGUUGGUGAGAGUGGAAAGCUCAUCAAGUGACGGUAACUACCCAGAAAGGGACGGCUAACUACGUG